AUUGAACGCUGGCGGCAGGCCUAACACAUGCAAGUCGAACGAGUGGCGGACGGGUGAGUAAUUUCUGGGAAACUGCCUGCUGGAGGGGGAUAACUACUGGAAACGAUAGCUAAUACCGCAUACCAUCAAAUGUGCCCAGAUGGGAUUAGCUGGUUGGUGGGGUAACGGCGCACCAAGGCGACGAUCCCUAGCUGGUCUCAGAGGAUGACCAUGCACACUGGAACGGAGACACGGUCCAGACUCCUACGGGAUGAAGCAGUGUGGAAUAUUGCCAAAUGGGCGCAAGCCUGAUGCAGCCAUGCCGCGUGUAUGAAGAAGGCCUUAGGGUUGUAAAGUACUUUCAGCGGGGAGGUGUUACCCGCAGAAGAAGCACCGGCUAACUCCGUGCCAGCAGCCGCGGUAAUUC
rnacentral:rRNA from 1 species